ACGAUGCGUAGCCGACCUGAGAGGGUGAUCGGCCACACUGGGACUGAGACACGGCCCAGACUCCUACGGGAGGCAGCAGUAGGGAAUCUUCCGCAAUGGACGAAAGUCUGACGGAGCAACGCCGCGUGAGUGAUGAAGGUUUUCGGAUCGUAAAGCUCUGUUGUUAGGGAAGAACAAGUACCGUUCGAAUAGGGCGGUACCUUGACGGUACCUAACCAGAAAGCCACGGCUAACUACGUGCCAGCAGCCGCGGUAAUACGUAGGUGGCAAGCGUUGUCCGGAAUUAUUGGGCGUAAAGGGCUCGCAGGCGGUUUCUUAAGUCUGAUGUGAAAGCCCCCGGCUCAACCGGGGAGGGUCAUUGGAAACUGGGGAACUUGAGUGCAGAAGAGGAGAGUGGAAUUCCACGUGUAGCGGUGAAAUGCGUAGAGAUGUGGAGGAACACCAGUGGCGAAGGCGACUCUCUGGUCUGUAACUGACGCUGAGGAGCGAAAGCGUGGGGAGCGAACAGGAUUAGAUACCCUGGUAGUCCACGCCGUAAACGAUGAGUGCUAAGUGUUAGGGGGUUUCCGCCCCUUAGUGCUGCAGCUAACGCAUUAAGCACUCCGCCUGGGGAGUACGGUCGCAAGACUGAAACUCAAAUGAAUUGACGGA
rnacentral:rRNA from 2 species